GUAUGAUACAAUUAAGCUUAUUAGCUUUGAAUUUUAGUUUAUAUAUAUAUAUAGAUAUUCUUAACUUAUUGAGUUGUGCAUGAUGCAUUAAGACCUUUCUCCAGACACUUAAGAUUGUACUUUUGUUUUGGAUUAUCUAGUUUCACAGGAUCUUAUAUGAUGCAUUAAGACCUUUCUUUGGACACUUGAUAUUGUAUUUAGUUUAGUAUUAUGGAAUAAAGUUCAAAUGUGCCCCUCAACUUUUUCACGAUGUUCAAAUAAGCUCAUUUGAAGUUUUUUGUCCUAAACUCCUAAUUAAUAGCCAAAAUUUUGAUUUAAGACCAAAUUUAUCCUUCAACUGACAAAAAAUAGAGAGAUACAUGCCUAUUAAUAUUAAUAUUAAAAAAAAGAUAACAAAUAAUUUUUUAUUUUCUGCUUUAAAUUAAUAAAAAAAGGAAAAAAAAAUCUAAGAACUUAGAACAAGAACCAUAAGACAACAAAUGGAUGAACUCAAAAUUAAUCUUUGUAGUUUAUAUCACAACUAAUUAUUCAAAAAUACUAGGAAUUAAAAAUUAUUAACAACCAAAACAAAAGUUAGAAUUAGAAAUUGAACACUAUAGAAAAAAGAAAUUGAAAAUGCUUGAACUCUUCAGUUGUAGCAGUCAAUGCUAAAUAUAACCUUGAGCCCUUCCAGAAGUUUUAGUUGUGGGUUCUUGGAUGAGAAGACAAUGCUGUUAACCAAGGUCUUUAUUCUAUCAGAUUUAAACAAGCAGAAGUACCAUUCAAUCAGAGCCUAAACCAAAAUCACUUGCUUUAUAUGCAAGGCAUUGCCAAUGAGUUCUACCACACGUGAAGGCUUGUUAGUAACUGAUCAAUGUUGGUGCGUCAGUGUCGCUGAAUCCACAAAGUUAAGGGGCUAUGCAAUGAUAACCAAGGGAAAAGAGAGAGAGAGAGAG
rnacentral:misc_RNA from 1 species